UACAGAGGGUGCGAGCGUUGUUCGGAAUUAUUGGGCGUAAAGGGCGCGUAGGCGGCGCGGUAAGUCACCUGUGAAAUCUCCUGGCUCAACUGGGAGCUUGCAGGCGAAACUGCCGUGCUGGAGUGUGGGAGAGGUGCGUGGAAUUCCCGGUGUAGCGGUGAAAUGCGUAGAGAUGUGGAGGAACACCAGUGGCGAAGGCGACUCUUUGGUCUGUAACUGACGCUGAGGCGCGAAAGCGUGGGGAGCAAACAGG
rnacentral:rRNA from 1 species